AACGCGAAGAACCUUACCAAGUCUUGACAUCCUUCUGACCGGUCUUUAAUCGGACCUUUCCUUCGGGACAGGAGAGACAGGUGGUGCAUGGUUGUCGUCAGCUCGUGUCGUGAGAUGUUGGGUUAAGUCCCGCAACGAGCGCAACCCUUAUUGCUAGUAGCCAGCAGGUUAUGCUGGGCACUCUAGUGAGACUGCCGGAGACAAUCCGGAGGAAGGUGGGGAUGACGUCAAAUCAUCAUGCCCCUUAUGACUUGGGCUACACACGUGCUACAAUGGUGGGAACAAAGUGAAGCGACCCUGUGAAGGCAAGCGAACCACAGAAAACCCAUCUCAGUUCGGAUUGUAGUCUGCAACUCGACUACAUGAAGCUGGAAUCGCUAGUAAUCGCAAAUCAGAAUGUUGCGGUGAAUACGUUCCCGGGUCUUGUACACACCG
rnacentral:rRNA from 1 species